GAUUAAGAACGUAGCGAAAUGCGAUAAGUAAUGUGAAUUGCAGAAUUCAGUGAAUCAUCGAAUCUUUGAACGCACAUUGCGCCCCCUGGUAUUCCGGGGGGCAUGCCUGUCCGAGCGUCAUUACAACCCUCAAGCUCAGCUUGGUGUUGGGCCCCGCCGCCCCGGCGGGCCCUAAAGUCAGUGGCGGUGCCGUCCGGCUCCGAGCGUAGUAAUUCUUCUCGCUCUGGAGGUCCGGUCGUGUGCUCGCCAGCAACCCCCAAUUUUUUUCAGGUUGACCUCGGAUCAGGUAGGGAUACCCGCUGAACUUAAGCAUAUCAAUAAGCGGAGGA
rnacentral:misc_RNA from 1 species